GCGACUCUAACCAUGUGCAGAGUCCACGUUCACAGUGGGCGACGUCACCUACCUGCUGGGAUCCACCUCCGUGGGGACCAGCAGCCAGAUGUACCUCUGUUACAUUUGGUCUACAGAUUAGGCGGUGGCGGUCAGCAGCCAAUCUUUUGAUGGGCGUGUGCUGAUCAAGAUAUAAUCGGUCGCUAUUGUCGGUGUAAAUAGUUGAGAAACGUUCCGUAGGUGAACCUGCGGAAGGAUCAUUAUCGAGUUAGGGUCCUUUGGGCCCCAUCUCCCACCCUUGUCUAUAUUACCAUGUUGCUUUGGCAGGCCCGUCUUUAAACGGACCACCGAGGGCUUGUCCUCGGUCCGCGCCUGCCAGUAGCCCUUUUAUAAUAUCUCUUUGAACAGUGAUGUCUAAGCACAAAUAAAAUAAUUAAAACUUUCAACAACGGAUCUCUUGGUUCUGGCAUCGAUGAAGAACGCAGCGAAAUGCGAUAAGUAAUGCGAAUUGCAGAAUUCCGUGAGUCAUCGAAUCUUUGAACGCACAUUGCGCCCUUUGGUAUUCCGAAGGGCAUGCCUGUUCGAGCGUCAUUAUCAAUCCUCAAGCCUAGCUUGCUGUUGGGUCCCACCGUCGGCGACGAUGGUGGACCUUAAAGACAAUGGCGGAGUCCGUGGACCCUGGAUGCAGCGAGCUCUUCAGCACGCGUCUCGGUAGUCCCCGGGCCCUGUCUUAACCAAUUUAUUUACUAGAUUGACCUCGGAUCAGGUAGGGAUACCCGCUGAACUUAAGCA
rnacentral:rRNA from 1 species